rnacentral:rRNA from 1 species
GACGAACGCUGGCGGCGUGCCUAAUACAUGCAAGUAGAACGCAGUUGCGAACGGGUGAGUAACGCGUAGGUAACUGCCUCAUAGCGGGGGAUAACUAUUGGAAACGAUAGCUAAUACCGCAUACUGUUAGAUGGACCUGCGUUGUUUUUGCUAGUUGGUGAGGUAAAGGCUCACCAAGGCGACGAUCCAUACCCGACCUGAGAGGGUGGUCGGCCACACUGGGACUGGGGCACGGGCCAGAAUCCUUCGGGAGGCAGCAGGAGGGAAUCUUCGGAAAUGGAGGGAAGUCUGAACGAGCAACGGCGGGGGAGUGAAGAAGGGUUUCGGAGUGUAAAGCUCUGUUGUGAGAGAAGCGGUAACUAAACAGAAAGGGACGGCUAACUACGUGCCAGCAGCCGCGGUAAUAC